rnacentral:rRNA from 1 species
UACGUAGGGUGCAAGCGUUGUCCGGAAUUAUUGGGCGUAAAGAGCUCGUAGGCGGUUUGUCGCGUCUGCUGUGAAAACUCGGGGCUUAACCCCGGGCCUGCAGUGGGUACGGGCAGACUAGAGUGCGGUAGGGGGAGACUGGAAUUCCUGGUGUAGCGGUGAAAUGCGCAGAUAUCAGGAGGAACACCGGUGGCGAAGGCGGGUCUCUGGGCCGUAACUGACGCUGAGGAGCGAAAGCGUGGGGGAGCGAACGG